rnacentral:rRNA from 1 species
UAGGGAAUCUUCGGCAAUGGACGAAAGUCUGACCGAGCAACGCCGCGUGAGUGAAGAAGGUUUUCGGAUUGUAAAACUCUGUUGGUAGAGAAGAACGUUGGUGAGAGUGGAAAGCUCAUCAAGUGACGGUAACUACCCAGAAAGGGACGGCUAACUACGUGCCAC